rnacentral:rRNA from 1 species
UACGGAGGGGGCGAGCGUUAUUCGGAAUUAUUGGGCGUAAAGGGCGCGUAGGCGGCUGAACAAGUCAAAGGUGAAAUCCCUCGGCUCAACUGAGGAACUGCCUUUGAAACUGUUCGGCUUGAGGCCGGGAGGGGGUAGCGGAAUUCCCAGUGUAGCGGUGAAAUGCGUAGAGAUCGGAAGGAACACCAGUGGCGAAGGCGGCCGCCUGGACAGAUACUGACGCUGAGGCGCGAGAGCGUGGGGAGCAAACAGG